UGGGGAAUAUUGGACAAUGGGGGCAACCCUGAUCCAGCAAUGCCGCGUGUGUGAAGAAGGUCUUCGGAUUGUAAAGCACUUUCGACGGGGACGAUGAUGACGGUACCCGUAGAAGAAGCCCCGGCUAACUUCGUGCCAGCAGCCGCGGUAAUACGAAGGGGGCUAGCGUUGCUCGGAAUGACUGGGCGUAAAGGGCGUGUAGGCGGUUUACACAGUCAGAUGUGAAAUCCCCGGGCUUAACCUGGGAGCUGCAUUUGAUACGUGUAGACUAGAGUGUGAGAGAGGGUUUGUGGAAUUCCCAGUGUAGAGGUGAAAUUCGUAGAUAUUGGGAAGAACACCGGUGGCGAAGGCGGCAACCUGGCUCAUGACUGACGCUGAGGCGCGAAAGCGUGGGGAGCAAACAGGUUAGAUACCCUGGUAGUCCACGCUGUAAACGAUGUGUGCUAGAUGUUGGGUAACUUUGUUAUUCAGUGUCGCAGUUAACGCGUUAAGCACACCGCC
rnacentral:rRNA from 1 species